CCGGGUGAGAGUCUGAGGAGAAACAACAAAUACUGGUAACAGAGUGAUUUGGUAUGCUGUUUGCAAGAAUGCAUCUUAACAGAAAUACAGAGGAAAAGAAUAAAGACGAGAAAAUGGCGUUGGCAGUCCCAAGAAAUGUUUUGAAGGUGAAAGCUGAAUUUGCAAAAAUAUACAGCAUACACUUAGACAGGUAUCCAUUAUGAUGUUGACAAUGAAAGC
rnacentral:lncRNA from 1 species